GAUGCCCGUUAACUGUAAAGAAUAUGAAAAUGGAAUAUUAGUUUACAAGUAUAACCCGCCUUUAUUCGGAUCAUUCUGACUAGUUUCCCUAUUCCUCGCAUUUUCAACACGAAGGAGUGGAAUACACAUUUUUUAACGAUAAUUUUAAGCAAUUCGAACAAAUGAAAAGAUAAAAGUUGAAGUUUUCAUUUAACUGAUUCGAUUGUAAAACAAAAAUGUUCCCAACAAAUGUUUUGCUCCAAUUUUCCAGCCACAAAAGAGUGUACUUGCAAGCUGUCACUUACGAUGGAUAAUGGCGAGAGCAGCACAAAAUGAUAGAAGAGCAUGAAGGCCGUGCCGAUUUUGACCCACUUAAAGUCACCCAAGUCCUCGAUUGUGUAGGCGCCUAGAAGUAGACUCGAUUGAUAAGAGAUAAAUGCAACAAAUUCAAGGCUAAAUACCACUUCUCAAGAUGUAAAUGGGUAUAAUGUAGAGCAGCGCGUGCUGUAUCCAAUAGGUGGCCUGCUCGAAGGGGUAGGUGCGUCCCUCGACCUCGGGAAACACAAAGGCCAGAAAUGGUCCAUUCAAAUUGCUCAUCUGUAUACGAAACAAGGCAGUCGUUGUCUUUGUGGGCUUGGCAGCCAGCAAAUAAAUCUGGAUAGCAACGAAAUGCCUUUAGUUAAUACCCUUGCCGAG